rnacentral:rRNA from 1 species
CCUACGGGGGGCAGCAGUGAGGAAUAUUGGUCAAUGGACGAGAGUCUGAACCAGCCAAGUAGCGUGAAGGAUGACUGCCCUAUGGGUUGUAAACUUCUUUUAUAUGGGAAUAAAAUGUUCCACGUGUGGGAUUUUGUAUGUACCAUAUGAAUAAGGAUCGGCAAACUCCGUGCCAGCAGCCGCGGUAAUACGGAGGAUCCGAGCGUUAUCCGGAUUUAUUGGGUUUAAAGGGAGCGUAGGUGGAUUGUUAAGUCAGUUGUGAAAGUUUGCGGCUCAACCGUAAAAUUGCAGUUGAAACUGGCAGUCUUGAGUACAGUAGAGGUGGGCGGAAUUCGUGGUGUAGCGGUGAAAUGCUUAGAUAUCACGAAGAACUCCGAUUGCGAAGGCAGUUCACUGGACUGCAACUGACACUGAGGCUCGAAAGUGUGGGUAUCAAACAGGAUUAGAUACCCCUGUAGUC